rnacentral:rRNA from 1 species
UACGGAGGGUGCAAGCGUUAUCCGGACUCACUGGGUUUAAAGGGUGCGUAGGUGGGCUGGUAAGUCAGUGGUGAAAUCCCCGAGCUUAACUUGGGAACUGCCAUUGAUACUAUUAAUCUUGAAUACCGUGGAGGUUAGCGGAAUAUGUCAUGUAGCGGUGAAAUGCUUAGAUAUGACAUAGAACACCAAUUGCGAAGGCAGCUGGCUACACGAAUAUUGACACUGAUGCACGAAAGCGUGGGGAUCAAACAGG